ACAAGAUAGUGUCUUUGGUUGUUCUUUGGGGCUCUCCUAUUUUGAGAAAGUUUUUCUGUUAGUGUUCUUAUAUCUGUGGUUCCUAUCUUGACAGUAAUAACGAGGCUUAGUUACUAUAGACUUCUUGUUUUUCAUGUUACUGUAGUGGCAAACAUGUCAAUGGUUUUAAUCUGUUUUGGCUACUUCUAGUUGGCUUUGGUCAAUAAUUUGUGAAAAAAUAUUCCAUGGCGCUUAGCCGCCUAUAGUUAAAUGUAUUUUAGGGUCCUAGAAAAAUGGUUGCGAUUCUCUCAGGCAGAUUAUCAGGAAUUCAUUGUGACUAACUGUGUUUUGAUGCCAUUGUGCCUAGAAUCUUCUUGCUCAUUGCUCUGUUUUUCUUUCCUUCAUUUUAUAUCUUAUUCUUCAAUUUUCUGCUUAAUUGCUGCACUUCUUCAGCGUGUGUUUCUGAUAAAUCCCUCAGAAAGAUGGAUAAUAGAGCUGCAAAACCCUAAUUUCUAUUCCCAAUUCCAUCUACUAACAAUUUCCCCUCACUGUUAAACCUAUAUAUAACAAAUCUAUAUGUUAGUGUGCUAUAUUUCGGAAGGUUUAAGAGGUGCCCUGCAUCAUUGAGCCAUCACACAUGAGGAUGAAUCUGUUGAGGUGGUCUUGUUAGAGUGGUGAGGUUAGCAAUUGGUCAAAUAUAGAUUUUGGGAUUGGGACAUGCAAUGUUGGUUUAGUAGAUCCCAAGCGAUAGUGAUGGCCGCAUGGGACAAUAGAAGGCAAGAAGCGGGAGAUAUGGGAAACAAUAAGAAGUAUAUAUAGAUAGUAAGUGGGUUCACAUGUGGUUAUUGUUCAUGUGAUGUUAUUUAGUUGAGUCGUGGCUGUAUAUGAGUGGCUACAUUGUAGGACUUCAGUGGAAUUAUGCUUGUACAGAAGUCCUAUAUAUAUGUACUGUUGCUGAUGGGGGAAUAGAACAGGAAGAAUUGUGUCA